AGAGUUUGAUCCUGGCUCAGGAUGAACGCUAGCGACAGGCUUAACACAUGCAAGUCGAGGGGCAGCAUGAACUUAGCUUGCUAAGUUUGAUGGCGACCGGCGCACGGGUGAGUAACGCGUAUGCAACUUACCUAUCAGAGGAGAAUAGCUCAUCGAAAGAUGAAUUAAUGCUCCAUAAAACAGGGGUCCCGCAUGGGAAUAUUUGUUAAAAAUUCAUCGCUGAUAGAUAGGCA
rnacentral:rRNA from 1 species